GACGAACGCUGGCGGCGUGCCUAAUACAUGCAAGUUGAGCGCUGAAGGUUGGUACUUGUACCAACUGGAUGAGCAGCGAACGGGUGAGUAACGCGUGGGGAAUCUGCCUUUGAGCGGGGGACAACAUUUGGAAACGAAUGCUAAUACCGCAUAAAAACUUUAAACACAAGUUUUAAGUUUGAAAGAUGCAAUUGCAUCACUCAAAGAUGAUCCCGCGUUGUAUUAGCUAGUUGGUGAGGCAAAGGCUCACCAAGGCGAUGAUACAUAGCCGACCUGAGAGGGUGAUCGGCCACAUUGGGACUGAGACACGGCCCAAACUCCUACGGGAGGCAGCAGUAGGGAAUCUUCGGCAAUGGACGAAAGUCUGACCGAGCAACGCCGCGUGAGUGAAGAAGGUUUUCGGAUCGUAAAACUCUGUUGGUGGAGAAGAACGUUGGUGAGAGUGGAAAGCUCAUCAAGUGACGGUAACUACCCAGAAAGGGACGGCUAACUACGUG
rnacentral:rRNA from 1 species